rnacentral:rRNA from 1 species
UGGGGAAUAUUGGACAAUGGGGGCAACCCUGAUCCAGCAAUGCCGCGUGUGUGAAGAAGGUCUUCGGAUUGUAAAGCACUUUCGACGGGGACGAUGAUGACGGUACCCGUAGAAGAAGCCCCGGCUAACUUCGUGCCAGCAGCCGCGGUAAUACGAAGGGGGCUAGCGUUGCUCGGAAUGACUGGGCGUAAAGGGCGUGUAGGCGGUUUACACAGUCAGAUGUGAAAUCCCCGGGCUUAACCUGGGAGCUGCAUUUGAUACGUGUAGACUAGAGUGUGAGAGAGGGUUGUGGAAUUCCCAGUGUAGAGGUGAAAUUCGUAGAUAUUGGGAAGAACACCGGUGGCGAAGGCGGCAACCUGGCUCAUGACUGACGCUGAGGCGCGAAAGCGUGGGGAGCAAACAGGUUAGAUACCCUGGUAGUCCACGCUGUAAACGAUGUGUGCUAGAUGUUGGGUAACUUUG